AGCAACUGGGGUGCCAUUGCGGCUGAGAUAAUACCCAUUGAACCUGAAUCUGGACAAUGCCAGCGCAGGGAGCAA
rnacentral:ncRNA from 1 species